rnacentral:misc_RNA from 1 species
UGGUUCUGGCAUCGAUGAAGAACGCAGCGAAAUGCGAUAAGUAAUGCGAAUUGCAGAAUUUCAGUGAGUCAUCGAAUCUUUGAACGCACAUUGCGCCCUCUGGCAUUCCGGAGGGCAUGCCUGUUCGAGCGUCAUUAUCACCCCUCAAGCCUGGCUUGCAGUUGGACCUCCCGGCGGCCGCGUGCGGCUCCCGGUCCCAAAGACAAUGACGGCGUCCGUGGGACUCUCGGUGCAACGAGCUCUACCGGGCACGCAGCGAGUCGAAAAGUCCCCGGGCCCGGUCUCGACCUUUUUACAUCUCAAGGUUGACCUCGGAUCAGGUAGGAAUACCCGCUGA